AGAGUUUGAUCCUGGCUCAGGACGAACGCUGGCGGCACGCUUAACACAUGCAAGUCGAACGAGAGAAGAGGAGCUUGCUUUUCUGAUCUAGUGGCGGACGGGUGAGUAACACGUGAGCAAUCUGCCUUUCAGAGGGGGAUACCGAUUGGAAACGAUCGUUAAUACCGCAUAACAUAAUUGAACCGCAUGAUUUGAUUAUCAAAGAUUUAUCGCUGAAAGAUGAGCUCGCGUCUGAUUAGCUAGUUGGUAAGGUAACGGCUUACCAAGGCGACGAUCAGUAGCCGGACUGAGAGGUUGAUCGGCCACAUUGGGACUGAGACACGGCCCAGACUCCUACGGGAGGCAGCAGUGGGGAAUAUUGCACAAUGGAGGAAACUCUGAUGCAGCGAUGCCGCGUGAGGGAAGAAGGUUUUAGGAUUGUAAACCUCUGUCUUCAGGGACGAAAAAAGACGGUACCUGAGGAGGAAGCUCCGGCUAACUACGUGCCAGCAGCCGCGGUAAUACGUAGGGAGCGAGCGUUGUCCGGAAUUACUGGGUGUAAAGGGAGCGUAGGCGGGAUCGCAAGUCAGAUGUGAAAACUAUGGGCUUAACCCAUAAACUGCAUUUGAAACUGUGGUUCUUGAGUGAAGUAGAGGUAAGCGGAAUUCCUAGUGUAGCGGUGAAAUGCGUAGAUAUUAGGAGGAACAUCAGUGGCGAAGGCGGCUUACUGGGCUUUAACUGACGCUGAGGCUCGAAAGCGUGGGGAGCAAACAGGAUUAGAUACCCUGGUAGUCCACGCCGUAAACGAUGAUUACUAGGUGUGGGGGGACUGACCCCUUCCGUGCCGCAGCAAACGCAAUAAGUAAUCCACCUGGGGAGUACGACCGCAAGGUUGAAACUCAAAGGAAUUGACGGGGGCCCGCACAAGCAGUGGAGUAUGUGGAUUAAUUCGAAGCAACGCGAAGAACCUUACCAGGUCUUGACAUCGUAUGCAUAGCUCAGAGAUGAGUGAAAUCUCUUCGGAGACAUAUAGACAGGUGGUGCAUGGUUGUCGUCAGCUCGUGUCGUGAGAUGUUGUGUUAAGUCCCGCAACGAGCGCAACCCUUACUGUUAGUUGCUACGCAAGAGCACUCUAGCAGGACUGCCGUUGACAAAACGGAGGAAGGUGGGGAUGACGUCAAAUCAUCAUGCCCCUUAUGACCUGGGCCUCACACGUACUACAAUGGCUGUCAACAGAGGGAAGCAAAGCCGCGAGGUGGAGCGAACCCCUAAAAGCAGUCUUAGUUCGGAUUGUAGGCUGCAACCCGCCUACAUGAAGUCGGAAUUGCUAGUAAUCGCAGAUCAGCAUGCUGCGGUGAAUACGUUCCCGGGCCUUGUACACACCGCCCGUCACGCCAUGGGAGUCGGUAACACCCGAAGCCUGUAGUCUAACCGCAAGGAGGACGCAGUCGAAGGUGGGAUUGAUGACUGGGGUGAAGUCGUAACAAGGUA
rnacentral:rRNA from 1 species